GAUGAACGCUAGCGGCAGGCUUAACACAUGCAAGUCGAGGGGCAGCAUAAACAUUGCUUGCAAUGUUUGAUGGCGACCGGCGCACGGGUGCGUAACGCGUAUGUAACCUACCUCAAACAGGGGCAUAACACUGAGAAAUUGGUACUAAUUCCCCAUAACACUUUGGGAGGCAUCUCCUGGAGUUGAAAGUUCCGGCGGUUUGAGAUGGACAUGCGUUGUAUUAGCUAGUUGGUGAGGUAACGGCUCACCAAGGCGACGAUACAUAGGGGGACUGAGAGGUUAACCCCCCACAAUUGGUACUGAGACACGGACCAAACGUCCUACGGGAGGCAGCAGUGAGGAAUAUUGGUCAAUGGACG
rnacentral:rRNA from 1 species